AUUGAACGCUGGCGGCAGGCCUAACACAUGCAAGUCGAACGAGUGGCGGACGGGUGAGUAACGUCUGGGAAACCGCCCGUUGGAGGGGGAUCACUACUGGAAACGGUAGCUAAUACCGCAUUCCAUCGUUUGUGCCCAGACGGGAUUAGCUAGUGGGCGGGGUAACGGCUCACCUAGGCGACGAUCCCUAGCUGGUCGGAGGGGAUGACCGGCCACACUGGAACUGGAACACGGUCCAAACACCUACGGGAGGCAGCAGUGGGGAAUAUUGCACAAGGGGGGCAGGCCGGAGACGGCCAUGCCGGGUGUGUGAGGAAGGCCUUCGGGUUGUAAGGUACUUUCAGCGAGGAGGCGUUACUCGCAGAAGAAGCACCGGCUAACUCCGUGCCAGCAGCCGCGGUAAUUC
rnacentral:rRNA from 1 species